rnacentral:lncRNA from 1 species
CAGCUAUUCUCCCCGGAGAGCAACGGGCAAACGUCAUAGAAGUGGCUUCCCCCGGAUUAUCCGCCUCCCGUUUUUAAGAGGCUUUGGGAUGGAUCUCAGGCCUCGCCUGUGUGGAGGGUUCGCCCUGAUCCCAGUCACCGGUAUGCGAGCAGCCUUCCUUGCCUAUCACCGGUGGUUGGAAUCUGGGCCACUCCUUGGCGUCGGUAAGGUCCUGGCUGCGCUGUGAACAAGCCUCUCUUCUCUGCCUUUUCCCUGUCCCUCCCUUGCAGGAUCGGCAGCCCCAAAGACUCUCAGGGAGAUAGCAGUUCGGUGAAGAAGGUGCACCAAGUCACUAUGUCACAGCCAAAGCGCAACUUCACAGCAGUCAGGACCCCAAAAGACAUCACGUCAGAAAACUCCAUCUCUAGAUUACUCUUCUGCUGCUGGUUCCCCUGGAUGCUGCGUGCAGAGAUGCAGUCCUAAGGCCUCGGCACGCGCCUCUCCCAUCCUCCGCUCUGUCCUCUGUUCUCCAACUAACCGAAAGAAAGACUGCUCUCCCCGUUGGGCUCUCAUCCCCCUGCCCGCCCCCCUGAGUCGCAGUUCUAGUGAACCCCAGUGCCUUGGUACCAUUGAACGUCGCCCCCUAUAGUCCGUGAGAAAGGCUGCACUAACCCCCCCAACCCACCGCGGGUAUGCACCCCACGCCCCGGGUAGACGUAACAUGGGCUCGGAAGCGCCCCUCUUUGAUUUCUCCCCCAGGGCGCAGUGGUGUGAACACAAAGCCUCUUUGGUACAGAUUUCCCUCUGUGGUUUUAUUGCUCUGAGCCUGACGCUCGGGAUAAGGCCUAUCAAGGAACCCCAGAGCCUGGCCCUUUGAGUUGCUCCCCAGCUAAACUUAAUCUAACCUGGCCUCUCUCUACAUCUCUGUAGCAGUGCGGACAGGGUCAGGUUAUAACACUCUGACUGUGGAAGUAAUGAUCCUCCCCAGCUUAAGCUGCCUUUUUCUCUGGGAAUCAUGUAAUGCUUACCUUCCAGGAUCAAUGCUAUUCGAUUGCUCAGUUCCUUUCAGGGAGGAGAUCUGGCUUAUAGAAACUGGUCUCAUGUUGAACCUUAAAGAGCAGUGAGAUUUGGGGGG